UUUAAAUUGUGCAUUAAAAUUGUGAAAAUUACUAAGAAUAUUUCAGCAAAAGCGAUUUAUACAGAUGUUAUUUUUCACAAUGAUUUUCUUACCAAAUCCACUUGUGGAUGCUCAUCGUCUUCAAGAGCAUUGUAAUCAACUAAAAAAUGGAUAUUGGCACAGCGUGUCGAAGUAUGCUUUCACAAUUUAUACAUUCAUCUAAAAGCACCAUUAAGUCAUAUGUAAGGAUAAAAUUACAGAAUAAAGAUUGUGUGGCUGGUAUUCUUUUUUUAAAACAACUCUGGGCAAUUUGUGUGGCUUGUCAUGAGAAAGGUUUUGAUAAAAUAUGAUCGCUCUGUUACAUAUGACAGCGUUGUCACGGCGUUUAAAUUCUUUUCAUUACUUAUAUAAAUAUUUGCACAACAUGAGAUGCGUAAAUUAUGUGAAAUAAGGAAAAUUAGCCGGUUUAUUUAAGAAAUACGUGAAGAUUUUUCACCAGCUUAGCUACUUCAGUAUUGUUUAAGACUGAAUACAAGAUGGAAAAGUUUGGCUUCCUUUCAUUUGUUUUGUUCUGUUGGAUUUCAUCUUGUCAAGGAAUAAUUCAAUCACCUCCC